GCCGCUGUCGUCUAACGCCAGGAUGCGCCCCUCGUAGCGGCGCGGCGCGGGUUGAACUCCCGCCGGCGGCUCCA
rnacentral:tRNA from 1 species